UUGAGAGUCCUCUGGUAUAGGAUUCUUGGUCUUUCCAUUUUAUAUUAUUUGUGCGACUCGGUACAUUUGCCGAAAUAGUCUAUCAUGUUUUUGGCAUCGUUGUCGGGGACUCAUGGUUUAAGCUAUUCAAUUUGUGUGAUUCUUGAUUAACUUUGACUUUAUUUUAUUUUUAUUUUAUUUUUAUUUUAUUUUCUAUUUUUAAUUUUUUUUUUUAUUUUUUUAUUUUAUCUUUCUUAUCUUUAAUUUUUAUUUUUCACUCUUUCAUUUUUAUUUUAUUUUGUCUUCUAUUCUGUUUAUUUUUGUUUUAUACUAAAAGUAUUUUCAAGGAUUUUGUGCAGGAUCUGAGACUUGCAGGAGGCCGAAAGGAGAUCAAUUAUGUAGAGAACUUUCUCUAGAGAAAAUUUCACAGGCCUCAUAAUCUGAUCUAAUAGGAUGAAAUUCUACCAAGGUAAUUUCAACUACUGGUGGAAACCUCACUCAAGCAUGAAUCAGAGCCAAUAUAGGCAAGUUGGUGGACUAUUCACUAGAUCACCAGAAGCCGACUGUACAACAAAGCUGGAGGAGACUCUCCAACAGUUCAUGCAAGGAUCUCUCUCC
rnacentral:lncRNA from 1 species